GGAAAACAAAUUCUUCCCCAACUUGGAACCCUAGAAAUCGUCCCCAAAAUCCCAACUGAAAUCUUGAAUUUCAUCUUGGAUUUAGUGUCGGCCUUGGCCCAAGGCAAGUGAGGCCACUGCCUUGGACCUCAAAUUGUAGGGGGCCUCAUCUGUUAAGGGGAAAAAAAAAAUUGGCACAAGAAAAUCAACCGCCUUUCUCCAUAAAUUAUUUUUUUCCCGUUUUAAUCUUCUUCAUCUUCUCUUCUCCACCACAAGUGAGGCCACUGCCUUGGGCCUCAAAUUGUAGGGGGCUCAUCUGUUAAGAAAAAAAAAUUGGCACAAGAAAACCAACCGCUUUUCUCCAUAAAUUAUUUUUUCCCGUUUUAAUCUUCUUCGUCUUCUCUUCUCCACUACAAGGUAAGGUAGAAUUAAUCCCUAAAUUAAAACUACCAUCUACCGGUAGUGAGGGGUGACAAGUCAGUCCGACUGCAAAAAUUUCGACAACAUCGACAGACGGCAGAAUAGCCGCAUUGUCUACUUCAAUCACCAUCGCGUCCACCAAUUUCUGAAUCCUUUCAUUUUGGGACUCAUCAAUCGGGUUUUAUCGCUCUUUACUUGUUAUUAUGUCUACGAGAAAAUUUGAAUCUAGAUGUGCCAAAAGAAAAAAGGAAGGAAAAGAUUGAAAAGUUGAUUAAAUCUCAAGAGGGAGCACUUGAUAAGUUUUUUGGUAAUAGUAAACGAACACACAACGAUGACAUAGCUACUGAAGAAGUGUUAAAUGAGAA